AGGACGAACGCUGGCGGCGUGCUUAACACAUGCAAGUCGAACGGAAAGGCCCCUUCGGGGGUACUCGAGUGGCGAACGGGUGAGUAACACGUGGGCAACCUGCCCCUAGCUCUGGGAUAACACUUGGAAACAGGUGCUAAUACCGGAUAACGACAUUCCAUGGCAUCUUGGACUGUCCAAAGUUUUUCGGCUAGGGAUGGGCCCGCGGCCUAUCAGCUUGUUGGUGGGGUAAUGGCCUACCAAGGCGACGACGGGUAGCCGGCCUGAGAGGGCGACCGGCCACACUGGGACUGAGACACGGCCCAGACUCCUACGGGAGGCAGCAGUGGGGAAUAUUGGACAAUGGGCGAAAGCCUGAUCCAGCAAUGCCGCGUGAGUGAUGAAGGCCGUUAGGUUGUAAAGCUCUUUUACCAGGGAUGAUAAUGACAGUACCUGGAGAAUAAGCUCCGGCUAACUCCGCGCCAGCAGCCGC
rnacentral:rRNA from 1 species